rnacentral:rRNA from 1 species
GACGAACGCUGGCGGCGUGCCUAAUACAUGCAAGUCGAGCGCAGGAAACUGACGGAACUCUUCGGAGGGAAGGCAGCGGAAUGAGCGGCGGACGGGUGAGUAACACGUAAGGAACCUGCCUCAAGGAUUGGGAUAACUCCGAGAAAUCGGAGCUAAUACCGGAUAGUUCAACGGACCGCAUGGUCCGCUGAUGAAAGGCGCUUCGGCGUCACCUUGAGAUGGCCUUGCGGUGCAUUAGCUAGUUGGUGAGGUAACGGCCCACCAAGGCGACGAAGCAUAGCCGACCUGCGAGGGGGAUCGGCCGCACUGGGACUGAGAAAAGGCCCAGAAUCCUACGGGAGGCAGCAGUGGGGGAUCUUCCACAAUGGACGAAAGUCUGAUGGAGCAACGACGCGUGAGUGAUGAAGGUUUUCGGAUCGUAAAACUCUGUUGUAAGGGAAGAACACGUACGAGAGGGAAUGCUCGUACCUUGACGGUACCUUACGAGAAAGCCACGGCUAACUACGUGCCAGCCGCCGCCGUAAGAC